UACAGAGGGGGCAAGCGUUGUUCGGAAUUACUGGGCGUAAAGGGCGCGUAGGCGGCCUUCUAAGUCGAACGUGAAAUCCCCGGGCUCAACCCGGGAACUGCGUCCGAUACUGGAAGGCUUGAAUCCGGGAGAGGGAUGCAGAAUUCCAGGUGUAGCGGUGAAAUGCGUAGGUAUCUGGAGGAAUACCGGUGGCGAAGGCGGCAUCCUGGACCGACAUUGACGCUGAGGAGCGAAAGCUAGGGGAGCAAACGGG
rnacentral:rRNA from 1 species